GCAUUGGUGGUUCAGUGGUAGAAUUCUCGCCUGCCACGCGGGAGGCCCGGGUUCAAUUCCUGGCCAAUGCA
rnacentral:tRNA from 1 species